GUGUUGCAUGGCUGUUGUCAGCUCGGUGUCGUGAGAUGUUGGGUUAAGUCCCGCAACGAGCGCAACCCUCGCCUUUAGUUGCCACGCAAGUGGAUCUCUAGAGGGACUGCCGGUGUUAAACCGGAGGAAGGUGGGGAUGACGUCAAGUCCUCAUGGCCUUUAUGACCAGGGCUACACACGUGCUACAAUGGACGGUACAAAGCGUUGCCAACUCGCGAGAGGGAGCUAAUCGCAUAAAACCGUUCUCAGUUCAGAUUGGAGUCUGCAACUCGACUCCAUGAAGGCGGAAUCGCUAGUAAUCGAAGAUCAGCACGCUUCGGUGAAUACGUUCCCGGGCCUUGUACACACCGCCCGUCACACCAUGGGAGUCAAUUGCUCCAGAAGUCGCCGUGCCAACCGCAAGGAGGCAGGCGCCCAA
rnacentral:rRNA from 1 species